rnacentral:lncRNA from 1 species
UCAGUGGCACAGAUACGAACAGAUCUACCUGCUUAGGGAGCUUGUGCUACUCUUCAAAACUGGAUAUGUGCUCAGGGAAAAUAACUUGACAGAAAAGGCCUGGCUCUGAUCUCACUCAUUGUGGUGUAAACUGCUGUAUUUGAGGGUGUGUUGAUGAGAGGGUCCAGGAGGACUUGUUGUGUUUCCAACCACAGCACCUGAGCCUGCUGACACCAUUUAAAAGUAAGGAGUCUCCUGAGAAAAACUGAAAAAAGGUAAGCCACGUUGAAAUGCCGUAGUUUUUCUAGAAUACAG